UAAAAGUCCCGGACAACAACCAUGAGCCAGACCGUGUCUACACGGAAUGGUUCAUGGAUAUUGGACGGGCUGACCUGUAUGAACAAGGAGAGCAAUCGCUCGGAUUGUGAAUACAGAUGACGAUGUCGAGAGUGCAUAGCACACAGACAUCAACUUUUC
rnacentral:sRNA from 1 species